rnacentral:rRNA from 1 species
GACGAACGCUGGCGGCGUGCUUAACACAUGCAAGUCGAACGGAAAGGCCCUGCUUUUGUGGGGUGCUCGAGUGGCGAACGGGUGAGUAACACGUGAGUAACCUGCCCUUGACUUUGGGAUAACUUCAGGAAACUGGGGCUAAUACCGGAUAGGAGCUCCUGCUGCAUGGUGGGGGUUGGAAAGUUUCGGCGGUAGGGGAUGGACGCGCGGCUUAUGAGCUUGUUGGUGGGGUAGUGGCUUACCAAGGCUUUGAAGGGUAGCCGGCCUGAGAGGGUGAACGGGCACAUUGGGACUGCGAUACGGCCCAGACGCCUAUGGGAGGCAGCAGUGGGGAAUAUUGCACAAUGGGCGGAAGCCUGAUGCAGCAACGCCGCGUGCGUGAUGACGGCCUUCGGGUUGUAAACCGCUUUCGCCUGUGACGAAGCGUGAGUGACGGUAAUGGGUAAAGAAGCACCGGCUAACUACGUG